rnacentral:rRNA from 1 species
UGCCAGCCGCCGCGGUAACACCGGCACCCCGAGUGGUAGCCACUAUUAUUGGGCCUAAAGCGUUCGUAGCCGGUUUAGUAAAUUCUUGGGUAAAUCGUACAGCUUAACUGUGCGGAUUCCGGGGACACUACUAGACUUGAGACCGGGAGAGAUUAGAGGUACUUGCAGGGGAGCGGUGAAAUGUUGUAAUCCUGCAGGGACCACCAGUGGCGAAGGCGUCUAAUCAUAACGGCUCUGACGGUGAGGAACGAAACCCUGGGGCGCAAACGGGAUUAGAUA